AGUUCCGAAUGACCGGGUUUCCCUCAGAGUUAAUAUAGACAGCCAAACUGACAGACGUGUUCCCUGAUCGUAGGAGCCUGGAAUUCGGUGCUGUACACAGAACCGUGUAACUCUCAGCCUAAGAGUACUCAACGAUACUCUUGGGUCGUGUUACGUCGAAGUAAUACAGAAUAUUUGUGAACACAUUUUCAUCGGAGCUAACAAUGAACGAAGAACACCAAGAGCACCAUGAAUCAAAUAAUGGUAACGAUUGCAAAUAUCACGCAAGUCGGAGCGCAGCUCAAGUUGUCAUUCGGCCUGGCAGUUGUUACAAACAAGGACGAAAUGUACCGAAAUUGCACGAUCAAGGUACACAAACUGCAGAAUUUGAGGAAUUUGAUGGAAACGAUAAUGGACACGAUGAAAAACAAGAUGGCAACAUAAACUAUAUGGAAGGAGCCACAUGUAGCAACGGAUCAGAUGAAAAAGCAGACCCUGGAAAUGCUUACAACGUAACUAAGAGAACCUUUGAACAAAUAUCCGGAGAAACCAGAUGUUGUCUGGUUGAAGAUGUGACUGACUCGAGAGAAUCCUCGACUCCAUUUUUCGGGAGUGUUAUUCAGUUAAUUCAAAUGUUGGUUAAUUUGUUUGGAAGACGUGGUGAACUAGAGUUUGGAUUAUAUAAAGACACUUAUAAUGGUUGUCUUCAGGUUGAUUGGAAACCAUGGAUAGAGUUUGGAAAUGAAGAAAAGAUUUUCACUGAUAUCUUAGACAAAAAAAAUUCUUGUCUUAAAAAAUGUAUUCUUACACUUCCAGAAUGGAUAUCUUAUAUAUGGAAAGGAAAACUGUUCUUUCAACGCAAAUAUGAUGUCGCAUCGGGUGGAGUUGGAAUAGUUCAGUGUGACGGAAUAACUGAUGGCGUAUGUUCUUUGACUUUAGCAAGAAAAACGAUUCCGAAAAAGAAAUGGAGAAACGAGGAAAUACAAGCACUACUGAGGUUGCAAACGAAAGGAUUUGUUCCCAUGGUGUAUGGAGUACUAGCACACGAUGACAACUUAGCAUUGUUAUUGGAAAUGAUAGAUGGUGUUGUGUUGACCACUUACAGUGGAAACUUGUAUGAUAAAAUACAAUUGUUCCACUCAUUGGUUGCAAAAGUAUGCCAGUUGCACAAGGAAGACAUAUUCCAUCAAGAUUUGAAAUAUGGAAAAUAUCAUAUUGUCUAAUAUUAUUGUACGAGAUCCAAAUGACCCUUCAUCUGUCGUAAUAAUAGACUUUGGUUCGACAAUUAUGCAGAAAUCAGACAAAAACCAUUUAAGACCUAUUACUGCAUGUCUCUGUCCUCCAGAUCUUGAACAGAGCUUGUUAAACAGAUAUCUACCUGUGAAGUUUGAUGAGCAAGUAAAACGUCUUCUUGUUGCAUGGGACAGCUGGCAGCUUGGUAUGAUACUUUUCAAUUUACUAACCAGAAAGAACCUACACAUCAAUGGCAAAGUCACUCAGGACAAUCUUAACUUUACCAGAGAGAAAAUGAAACAAUAUAUUAAUCGUCAGUUGUCGGACAAAGUUGAUAAAAUACCACCGAACAUACUCCCAAUAUUGAUAGGUCUUCUUGAAGUGGACUAUAGGAAGAGAUUAACACCAGAAUUCGUUCGAAAUGAAUUGAACAAGGAUGUUACUUUUACAGAGUAGUAUAUGAAUGGUUGGACAGUGCCAUGGUAGACUGUUAAAUCGAAGCAAAUUCAAAUACAUUCAGAUUUUUGAAAGAAGAUUACACUACUGAUGAUUUAAAACAUAUUAAAUAUGUUCUGAUGAAUAUAUGUGCUCUAUUACAUGUAUCCAUUCAUGUAUAUAAUUAUAUAUACCUUAGUUUAUUUAUUUUGUAUUUACAUUGUAUCAUAGAUCAAAUUUAUUUGUUCAGUGUAUGUUCACUGGUGAUAAUAUGUCUUUUGAUUGAGUUAAGCCAUUUCAAUUGAUAUUUUAUAGUAUGUCUUUCUAUGUUGUGAUGUUACACUAUUGUUUCAGAUAAUGGUGAAGGUAUGGUACCAUUAAAACGUUUAAACCCGCUGCAAUUGUUUGCACCUGUCCUAAGUCAGGAAUCUGACGUUCAGUAGUUGUCGUUUGUUGAUGUGGUUCAUAAGUGUUUCUCGUUUCUCGUUUGUUAUAUAGAUUAGACCGUUGGUUUUCCCGUUUGAAUGGUUUUACACUAUUAAUUUUUGGGGCCCUUUAUAGCUUGCUGUUCGUUGUGAGACAAGGAUCCAUGUUGAAGAUCGUACUUUGACUCCAUAAUGGUUUACUUUUAUAAAUUUUGACUUGGAUGGAGAGUUGCCUCAUUGGCACUCAUACCACAUCUUCUUAUAUCUAUAAACUAAGCGACGUUGAAACUGUAAAUUUCUCAACCUUUUUUUUUUAAACCUGUCUCUGCGUUUUCUCUUGAUUAUUUUAUUGUAUAUUCUUCCCAGUCAUUUUGAUUUCCCAUUAAUUGAGAUCGGAAAGGAUGGUCUUGAGUGCUAAAAUAGUUCAACCAAAUCGCAAUGUGACUAUCCCAGGUCAGGAACCUUAAUAGUGGUUCAAUUUAAUUGAUUUUUUUUGGUUCUAGAAAGUUUAUGUUUAUGUCGGGAAUUUGGUUUGUUCUGUUUUUUUGGGGGGAUUUACUAAGGAACCCGAAAGGACUUUUUGAAGCCUGACUUAGAGUACAGACAAGUAUUGGAGUUCGUUAAAUGAUAUUUGUUUUGUUUUUUUGGUUGCUCCUUUAUGUAAUGAAAGAGAACUUUUGAGUGUGUCCGAUGCCCUUUUCUAGAUUACAACAAAAACCCUCAACUCGAAAGCGAUUGAUGAAUAAAUAUAUAGAAACGUUUUAUGACCAAAAUGGUCCAUAAAAGAAUUGCAGAAAAACAAAUGAAUGAGGGAGCUGAAGUCUUUAUUUCUAAUGGAUUGAGAGGUUUCAUAAAAUAUAUUCAAGUUUAUAAGUUCAGAAAUAAAUAUGACAUAAUAAGAGUGAACUUAGACACUUCUCGUGAAAGAUUUUUGUUUUAUUUUAUCUAAUUAUCGAUAAAGAACAACGUAUGUAAUAUUUCAUUAUGUUUUAUUAAUUUCAAAGUAUUUUGAAGUACAAUUUGUUCAUUAAACAAUUAUAAAUGAAUGCAUUUAAAUUUGCCCAUCAAAUUUUCAGUAUUCAAACAAACAAUUUAAAUAAAUAUUGUAACUUUGUA